UACGUAGGGUGCAAGCGUUGUCCGGAUUCACUGGGUGUAAAGGGUGCGCAGGCGGCAGAGUAAGUCAGAGGUGAAAUCUCACAGCUUAACUGUGAAACUGCCUUUGAUACUGCUUUUCUUGAGUUCGGGAGAGGUUGAUGGAAUUCCAGGUGUAGCGGUGAAAUGCGUAGAUAUCUGGAAGAACACCAGUGGCGAAGGCGGUCAACUGGCCCGUAACUGACGCUCAGGCACGAAAGCGUGGGUAGCGAACAGG
rnacentral:rRNA from 1 species